GAGGGGAUAGCUCAAGUGGCAGAGCAUAUGCUUAGCAUGCAUGAGGUCCUGGGUUCCAUCCCCAGUACCUCCU
rfam:Camelus ferus unplaced genomic scaffold scaffold660, whole genome shotgun sequence.